rnacentral:rRNA from 1 species
AUACGUAGGGGGCAAGCGUUAUCCGGAUUUACUGGGUGUAAAGGGAGCGUAGACGGAAUGGCAAGUCUGAUGUGAAAGGCCGGGGCUCAACCCCGGGACUGCAUUGGAAACUGUCAGGCUAGAGUGCAGGAGGGGUAAGCGGAAUUCCUAGUGUAGCGGUGAAAUGCGUAGAUAUUAGGAGGAACACCGGUGGCGAAGGCGGGUUACUGGACUGUAACUGAGAUUGAGGGUCGAAAGCGUUGGGAGCAAACAGGAUUAUAGACCCUGGUAGUCCACGCCGUAAACGAGGAAUACUAGGUGUUGGGUUCCAAUAGGGAUUCGGUGCCGCAGCUAACGCAAUAAGUAUUCCACCUGGGGAGUACGUUCGCAAGAAUGAAACUCAAAGGAAUUGACGGGG